rnacentral:lncRNA from 1 species
AGUGUGGCAAUGAGAAAGUGGCCACAGGGGAAGAACAAAGAAGAUGGGAGGAGGGUGUUGAUUGUUCAUCUAAAUUCCCAGAUCUCUCCUUGAUUUGCCUCUUUCUCUGAAAAAUUGGGGCAGAAGGACCCUCUAUGAUGCAAGGGUGAAGAGACCUUGUUUCAUGCAAGUAUAUUAUGUACUUUGAGCCCAUACCUCCAGGCUCUCCAUCCGUCCCCUCUGAGUCCCAUCUCUUCCCUCGAGUCUUCUGCGUUUCCUAGACAGCGUCACAUCUACACUCAGAUAAUCAACACAGCCGUGAUGUUAUUCUGGCACCCACAAGUGAGAGGAAUGAUAUAAUCCAACAUUUGUCUUUUGUGGACUGACAAUUUCUUUAAUAUGACCAUCUCUAGUUGUAUCCAUUUUCCUGAAAAUAGCAUGACUUUAAUUAUUCUUCAUGGUUGAAAUAAAUGAUUAUGCAUAUAAAAC